GCUAUAUAUGUCAUAUUCUAUGGGGAAUGUUUAUUGGCCAUAUAUUUACAUAGAUAGGUAUAUUUUUUAUUCCAUACAUAUUUCAAUAUUUUGAAGUGCUAAACUUUUAGAGCACAAGGAGAUUAGAAGCAAUGGCUACUUUAAAUAUUCAUAUAUUAUUUAUAGAACAUUUGCUUAUUUCAUAUGAAUCGAAAUUUAGUGGUCACAUUAAUCGAAGUUAUUUAGCCCACAUAGCAUAUAUUUUGAUGAGGGCAAAAUCCAUGUCAACAAUCAUCGACCAGAGGAACGUAAACCUCACCCCACAUAUGUUUCCUUGCCAUAGAUCACAUUCUUUGAUUUCUGGUGGAGACCAUUUCUUGGUCAAAAAUCCGAAUGUGUUAGCCUUCGGUACUAUUUAAAAUGGUCGUUCAUGGCUAUUUUCGACAAAAAUGGGGGUUGUGUGGCCAUUGAUCAUCGACCAGAGGCUCGUACACCUCACCCCACAUAUGUUUCCUUGCCAUAGAUCACAUUCUUGGAUUUCUGGUGGAGACCAUUUCUUAGUCAAAAAUCCGUAGGUGUUAGCCUUCGCUAUUAUCGAAAAUGGUCGUUCAUGGCUAUUUUCAACAAAAAUGGGGGUUGUGUGGCCAUUGAUCAUCGACCAGAGGCUCAUACACCUCACCCCACAUAUGUUUCCUUGCCAUAGAUCACAUUCUUUGAUUUUUGGUGGAGACCAUUUCUUGGUCAAAAAUCCGUAUGUGUUAGCCUUCAGUAUUAUUGAAAAUGGUUGUUCAUGGCUAUUUUCAUCAAAAAUGGGGGUUGUGUGGCCAUUUAUCAUCGACCAGAGGCUCGUACACCUCACCCCACAUAUGUUUCCUUGGCAUAGAUCACAUUCUCGGAUUUCUAGUGGAGUCCAUUUCUUGGUCAAAAAUCCGUACGUGUUAGCCUUCGGUAUUAUUGAAAAUGGUCGUUCAUGGCUAUUUUCGACAAAAAUGGGGGUAGUGUGGCCAUUUAUCAUUGACCAGAGGCUUGUACACCUCACCCCACGUAUGUUUCCUUUCCAUAGAUCACAUUCUUGGAUUUCUGGUGGAUACCAUUUCUUGGUCAAAAAUUCGUACGUGUUAGCCUUCGGUAUUAUUGAAAAUGGUCGUUCAUGGCUAUUUUCGACAAAAUGGGGGUUGUGUGGCCAUUGAUCAUCGACCAGAGGCUCAUACACCUCACCCCACAUAUGUUUCCUUGCCAUAGAUCACAUUCUUGGAUUUCUGGUGGAGACCAUUUCUUGGGCAAAAAUCUGAAUGUGUUAUCCUUCUGUAUUAUUGGAAAUGGUCAUUCAUGGCUAUUUUCGAGAAAAAUGGGGGUUGUGUGGCCAUUGAUCUUCGACCAGAGGAUCAUAAACCCCACUACACAUAUGUUUCCUUGCCAUAGAUCACAUUCUUGGAUUUAUGGUGGAGACCAUUUCUUGGUAAAAAAAUCCGUAGGUGUUAGCCUUCAGUGUCAUUGAAAAUGGUCGUUCAUGGCUAUUUUCGACAAAAAUGGGGGUUGUGUGCCCAUUGAUCAUCGACCAGAGGCUCGUACACUUCACCCCACAUAUGUUUUCUUGCCAUAGAUCACAUUCUUGGAUUUCUGGUGCAGACGAUUUCUUGGUCAAAAAUCCAUUGGUGUUAGCCUUCGGUAUUAUUGAAAAUGGUCGUUCAUGGCUAUUUUGGACUAAAAUGGGGGUUGUGUGGCCAUUUAUCAUCGACCAGAGGCUUGUACACCUCACCCCACAUAUGUUUCCUUGCCAUAGAUCACAUUCUUGGAGUUCUGGUGGAGACCAUUUCUUCGUCAAAAAUCCAUACGUGUUAGCCUUCGGUAUUAUUGAAAAUGGUCAUUCAUGGUAUUUUCGACAAAAAUGGGGGUUGUGUGGCAAUUGAUCAUCGACCAGAGGAACGUAAACCUCACCCCACAUAUGUUUCCUUGCCAUAGAUCACAUUCUUUGAUUUCUGGUGGAGACCAUUUCUUGGUCAAAAAUCCGAAUGUGUUAGCCUUCGGUACUAUUGAAAA
rnacentral:lncRNA from 1 species